CUGUACCUCCUCCUUGCACUUUCACCACUUGUCCCUCGCAGUCUGCAGCCUGCGGCGCACUGCACCUGCCCUGAGGAAGGCAGCAACCACAAAGCCUCAGGGAAACACGAUGCAUUAAAUCCAGCUGAACGUGAGUGAGCCCCAAUGGAACAUAAACAACAAAUUCCUGGCAAUCAGUGAAGCAGUAACAGUUCAUGGAGCUGCCCUUCACAAACCUGGAAGUAGCUUUCAUCUUGCUGGCUUUUGUCAUUUUCUCCUUGUUCACCUUGGCAUCUAUCUACAGUGACCCCCAUGGCAAGAAAGAAGAAGAAUGCACUACGCAGGAAGUAUACAAGAAAAGAACCAAAUCCAGCAAGAAAAAGACACAUGCUAAUACUACUGAAUUGAUUUAGAGAAAGAAUUGUUACCCAGGUCCACUGUUGGAAAUACAUCUGAAAGAGAUAACCUUGGAAGCUGGUCACCUGAACACAGUGAGAAAAAGGGUGUGAGAAAGGAAGGACCUGAUCAUCCAUCAGAUGGAAUCCAGACGUGACAAUUAGAGUUAAUGAACCACGACCCAAGAAACAGUUUCAGCACUUUUUACAGUCCCACUUCAUGGCCGCAGUAAAACUUUCAGGGCUUUUUUUUUUUUUUUUUUUUUUUUUCACAGAACACAUCUGCUUCAAAUUCUGAAGGGUGAAACUAGAUUCGGAAGUUAUAUUUGGUUUCUUCCCCACUUUUCAGUCAUGGAUGAGGUAAAUGUAAGAUCUUUCUUUAGUCAACUGAAAAUCAGAAGAUACUGCUUCUACAAUUAGACUAUAUAGUAUUAUUAUAGUCGUUACUUAAUUUAUAUUAAAAUUAAUAAGCUGAUAAAGCUGACUGAAAAAUACCAAGCAAAUAUUUUCAAAAUGUAACCAGUAUAAUGGCAUCUGUGUUCAAAUACUGGUUUUGGCCUCAGAUACUUACACAGCUAACAGAAUGCUCCAAAAAAGAAAAGAAAAAAGUUGAUUAAUACCUAAGUCUUCCAUCAUUUCUUCACAGAGCAGGUAUAGCUAAUGAAGCAAUGCCUCUUUAUCGCCAAAGUCCAGAAGAUCUACUGAACUUCUAAGCCUGAGGUGGAAUUGAUCUUUCUUUCCCUAUGGGCAAAGUAUUCCUGCAGUCAGAGCUUCUCAGCAGUUUCUCAGAAUGACAAAAAUCCAUCCAUCUGGUCUUUUGCUAUUAUAUGGAAUGGAGGAUUGAAAAAGGGCCAAACAACUCUUGGUGUUUUUUUCCGUACCAGACACACCUUUCCUCAGCCUCCUCUUGAGAUGUGUUCUCAAAACCAUAACAAUUCACUAUGAAACCUGCUAACUAAAUUACAAUUGCUUUCUGGUUAUGGUAGUGAAUUCUAAGAAUACAUUUUCAGCAGCCCUGGUCAGAAAUCCAGAAAGGCCAGGUACUUAGUGCAGAGCAGGAAGAUCUCGAGAGCUUGGAGAUAAUGUUUCACAGUCAGCUACAUUCCAGUUCCCUCUUCUGAGUUAGGAAGUGAUUGGUUGCAUCCUGGUUCUGAAGAAGGCAAAGGCAUCUCAGUCAUUGGUACCCCUUUAACUCCAAACUUGAAGAAAGCCAUCAUUAAGAAGUCCAACUUGGUCUUGUACAUGGAAAUGUCUGUGGUACGUGCAAGACCUCAUUGGGAGUCAUCGUGUCUCACAAGGAAUGGCUCACAGAGCUUUGUUCUUACUGACAUUAUGCUCAUACAUUCCACUUUUUUACUAUUGCUAAGUAUAGUUUUAUCUUUUUCACUAUAUUAACCUCCCAAGAGCUCAUUAAAUGUUACUGGUAUUGAAAACACAGUCAAUCAGGUGAAAUAAAAUAAAAUGGAAAAUAAAUUAAAAAUAUCAGUACACUGAGUGUUUGCUGUAAAAAUCUUCUGCCUUGCUUAAACACUGCACUACUUUUUAAGUAUGCUUGCGAGAAGUUGUGUAAUGCAUAACAUAGUGAAUAAAGCACCCAUACAUUAGGUAAGUGA